GACGAGGGAUCCAAGCGUUGUUCGGAAUUAUUGGGCGUAAAGCGGGUGUAGGUGGCUAUGUAAGUCAGGUGUGAAAGCCCAGGGCUCAACCCCUGGAAGUGCAUUUUGAUACUGCGUAGCUUGAGUGUGGGAGAGGAUAAGUAGAAUUCCUGGUGUAGUGGUGAAAUACGUAGAUAUCAGGAGGAACACCAAUGGCGAAGGCAGCUCGCUGGGACGGUACUGACGCUGAGACGCGAAAGCGUGGGGAGCAAACAGG
rnacentral:rRNA from 1 species